rnacentral:lncRNA from 1 species
GCGACCCUCCAAUUGCACCAGCACCUGAGGGCACAGACGGCUCUGCAGCUCAGAAUCAGGGUUGUUGAAAAGCCUCCUUCUCCGCUUGGUGGUCCAAGGUCUUUGCAAUCCAGCAGCUCAGAGUCAGGGAGCACCAGUGACUCUGAGAGCUCCUCAGACUCUGAGACCAGUGACUCUGAGAGCUCCUCAUCCCCGGAGACAAGUGACUCAGAGAGCUCCUCGGGCUCAGAGACCCACCACACUGGGGGUGUCAAAAGGCCUGGCAAGCCCCUGGUGGACAACGGGGCCAAGAGAUGCCGGAAGGAGGACAGCAACCCUGAUCCAUUGGAGAUCAGAGCCCAGUCUUCCAGGGACAAACAGAGGGUCAAAAAAAGAGCAAAAUCUACUUACAGAAAAGACCUGAAGCCGGCCCUCCAAGAGCCCCUUGAGAACAGAAAGGGCUCCCAGCAGGCCGAAGUGAAACAGCCCUUUGCCCUCGGGGUGAAGAAGUUGCUCUCGCCAGUGAGAGACCCCGCAGCUCCUGAGCCUGUCCGGGUGAAAGAGGAGCACCAGAGAAGAGCAGAGACCAAGGACCUCCCUGGUGCAAGGAAGCGGGACUUGAAGAGGAGAGCCAUGGACAGUCCUGAUGAGCCCAGUGGGAAGAAAAAGAGGGGAGAGAUAUGAAGAUUAAAGCUAGUCUUCAGUAAGCAAAGACUGCAAUAAAGUGAAGUGAGUAUACA